rnacentral:rRNA from 1 species
UACGUAGGUGGCAAGCGUUGUUCGGAAUUAUUGGGCGUAAAGGGCUCGUAGGCGGCCAACUAAGUCAGACGUGAAAUCCCUCGGCUUAACCGGGGAACUGCGUCUGAUACUGGAUGGCUAGAGGUUGGGAGAGGGAUGCGGAAUUCCAGGUGUAGCGGUGAAAUGCGUAGAUAUCUGGAGGAACACCGGUGGCGAAGGCGGCAUCCUGGACCAAUUCUGACGCUGAGGAGCGAAAGCCAGGGGAGCAAACGGG